GUGUCAGCCGCCGCGGUAAUACGUAGGAGGCAAGCGUUAUCCGGAUUCACUGGGCGUAAAGCGGGUGCAGGCGGCUUAGUAAGUCGGAUGUAAAAUCUCCUGGCUUAACUAGGAGGGCGCAUUCGAAACUGCUAGGCUAGAGGGCAGUAGAGGAAGAUGGAAUUCCCGGUGUAGUGGUGAAAUGCGUAGAUAUCGGGAGGAACACCAGUGGCGAAAGCGGUCUUCUGGGCUGUACCUGACGCUGAGACCCGAAAGCGUGGGGAGCAAACAGGAUUAGAUACCCUGGUAGUCCACGCUGUAAACGAUGGACACUAGGUAUGGGGAGUAUCGACCCUCUCUGUGCCGAAGCUAACGCUUUAAGUGUCCCGCCUGGGGACUACGGUCGCAAGACUAAAACUCAAAUGAAUUGACGGGG
rnacentral:rRNA from 1 species